rnacentral:rRNA from 1 species
GGUUGCGAUCAUACCAGCACUAAUGCACCGGAUCCCAUCAGAACUCCGCAAUUAAGCGUGCUUGGGCGAGAGUAGUACUAGAAUUGGUGACCCCCUGGGAAGUCCUCGUGUUGCAACCU